UUGUCCCUGCGUUGUACGUGACUUGACCAUAAAUUCUCUGAACCGAUAUUUAUGGCUAACCAGGUGGUCGGGACGAUUGGCGGGAAUGCGGGUCUCUAGUCAGAUGCGCUCGAAACCAGUCGCGAGACUGCCGACUUGAACCGAGGGUUCGAGAUGCCGGUCUUUGACGGCAAUCGCGGGGCAUUU
rnacentral:other from 1 species